CAGUACCUUGUAGAUGAAAGUGUUUGGUAGAUAGUAUAGUUCUGGGCUGUUGGUAGAUAGUUUAGUUCUGAGCUGUUCUACACUUUAGGUAUCGCUUUCUUCCUUAGCGCGAUAUUGAGAGGGAGGUCGGGGUAGAUUACAGGACAGUACCUG